GCAGUGCAUCUCCUCUCCCAAAUCCAACCGGCCACUCUCUCUCCCGUGCCCACUCCCUCUCUCUCCACCCGGAUCCCGUCCCCCAGAUCCACCCGCUCCGCUGUGCCUGCGCGCAGCUAGCGCGCAGCUAGCGCGCAGCCCCGGAUCCCGUCCCCCAGAUCCGCCCCGCCUCUCCGGCCCAAGCUCUCCAAGAGGAGGAGGAGGAUCAUCCGUCCUCGGGCAGAGAGAUGGAGGGCCUGGCGCAGUGGGCCGCGCUGCUGCGGGAGUCGCUGGGCCAGAGCCAGGCGGCCACAGACGCCGUCGUCUCCAUCCUCGGCUCCUUCGACAGCCGCCUUUCCGCGCUGACAGCCGCCUCUCCCACUCCUCCGUCCACUGGAACUUGAACCGGAAGCAACCGCCACUCACCAGGUUAGCUGUUCUCGUCUGCUCUGCCCGCGCACUGCAGGUAGUUGCGUUUAUUCCCGCCAGCACCAUCUUCCUUCCGCCGCGACCUUCCUAGCUAGAUCCAGCACCCAGUUGCCUACCGCGUGCACGCACACUUCUUUGCGUCCAGUGGAAUAAAUUAAGUCAAUAAUGGCCACCAUACUAUACAUCAAGAUACGAGCUUGAGCUUGAAACGAAUAAAGUUGGGUCUUGUGGGAUUAUUGUUUUAGCUUGCGCUUGAGUUUGAGACGAAUACAAUACAAUACAUCAAGGGUCGGAGCAUAGUCUUUGUUUUACUCUUGGAUUUGCAAUUAGUUCCGUUGAGCAGAUCCAGUGGACGGUGGUGACAAUGUGUAGAUGGACAUACACAUCCUCGGCUCAAGCAUAUCGCUACCUCGUCCGGCCUGAUCACUUGUUCAGGUAUGCCACAACUGAGGCUCCUUCAGUUCUCUACCAGUUUAUCAGUAGAGGCUCCUUAGGUACUAAAGGUGCACAUUCGCUUGCUUAUCCAGCAGCCAAACCAAUUUUGAUUCUGGCCUUCCAUCAGCACCAGGCAUAGCGGCACAGGUACCCAGUGGUUGUUAAUUAGGACUCACAGACUUGAGCCUUGUGCAACCUUGCACGCUACUCAGUUUUUUUCUUUUUGUGAAAUAGUAAAAUCUUACUCUACAUGUUAGAACAACUGUUAAUUAACUAGAGCCUAACGAAUCAAAACACACAUUGUAAUAUUUUUUUUAAGAAAACCAGCGAGCCUCUCCCCGAUACAUACAGAGUAUUCUCUCGGACGAUAGGAGUAGUUUGUAUUAUUAUUGAUAGGUAUUGGUUUAUUUGAAGAUGAUGACAGCCCCUUGUCCUUGUUUUUUUUCUUUUCAACCUGUGUGACAAGAAGUGCUGUUUAUAAUAAUAAAGAAACAGUAACUUGCAGAAGAUAUUUCUCACUGAGCUUAUGGAGGCAAUUGCGUCUCGUCUCAUGCUAUAUUGUGGCAAUGGAUAGGAUAUAGCGCUUUCAGGGUACUUAUCAGUUAUCAAUGUUUAGAAAUCUUCUUCUGUUCCUGUCAGAGAUAACAUAUCGCUUCAUGGAUUGGUGCUUGUUCUGUUUGCUGACACUUGGAUGCUCAUAACUUGGUUUCUCGAGCUACGAAUUUAUCACUUGUAUCACAUUUCUAUCACAUGUUAAACUGAUGGUUUUGCUACAACCCUCCAUUCAAAUCAAUAAAACCGUUGGCAUUGCACUUUGCUUGUAGAGUAUAGAGUAGAUACCAAACGAUGUGCUUAGAAAGUACGAUACAUAUCUUCUUUUAUUUAUUUUUCUAUCCUGAUUUUACCAUGUUCCAUACCAUUGGACCGCCUUUUCCAGUAUCUCUAGAGCUAAUCAUUCCUGCAGUUUCAUUGUCUUGCAGUUUUAGUUUGUUUUCAUCUCUUUACUCAACGCUGUUUCUUUUGGCGUAAUGCAGUGGGAUUGUUAACCUGUCUUUGUAUGCUCCGAAACGGGCUUAGGACUUCAUCCAUUCUGCUGCGUUUAUCAGGGCAUCUGUCGAUGGGAGACUAGUAUUUCUACUGACUAGUAAACUCCUUGCAAAUUGGGAGAUUCUGUGUGCUCUUCGGGCUCCUCGCUCUUCGCUUUCCCGGAAGCAUGAUAUACUAAUCCUGAGGACUAAAGAAGUUGAGAAAUAUAGUGCCAUCUCUGGUGGUUUACCUUGCUCAAUAUAUGUGUUAGUAUUGAAAGUUGUACAUAUGAGCAAACCGAGUUUUGUUGAGCUUUGCAUUAUGCUUUAUACCACCCAUUAAAUAUAAAAUGUGCCUGCAAUGCAAGACAUUUUUGUGUAUAUACGUUUUCUUGUUGCCGGAUAGUUCAAAUCUUGGCUUUGCUGGAUAUCUAUCUUUGAUGUGUUGGAACAUUCUGAUCUCAAUAAUCUGUAGGAUCCAUCAUAUAUUGUUUGUUGUAAAUUUGCUAGUUCUAUUCCUACUAAUGUGUGUGCCGCAAGCAAAUCAAAUUUACAUAACUUUUUCAUGUAGAUUUGCAAAGCUGGCUAAAUGCCUUUGUUUCAUUGUCAUUUCGUGUGUAAAUUUUGUUCAUGACCACUUUGGACCAUCUUCUCAAAUAGCUCUGCUCUAGAAAUAACCUAUAACCCUUUCAUUUGCUUAGCUCCCGAGUAGAAUUUACAGGUUUGACUGAAUUGUGGAGAGGAAUGGCGAUUCGUUGCUGGUGCAGAGUCAGCAGUUCUUGGAGAAGGUUGCCAAGACGGUCUCCUUCCUCGCGCAGCCUGAAGGCUCAUUCAUGCUGUUGCUCACAGGGAAGUUCAAAAGGACAGCGCGCUUGAGCUCCUAAACAUGCGCCCCUUCUACUUCGUUUACUUAUGUGGCGUGAAGACAUAAACAAACCUUUGGAGCCAUAGUUGUCUUUUUGUCAUCUAAAAUAAUAAUGGUAACAUAUUAAUACAAACAAAAUAAUAUUCUAGCUCAAAAAAUUGUAUGUGAAUAAUGAAUGGAUGCUAUGGAACUAUAUUUGUUAUGGAGCUAUGUAUGUAUGGAUGCUAUGGAACUAUAUGUAUA